UACGGAGGAUGCGAGCGUUAUCCGGAUUUAUUGGGUUUAAAGGGUGCGUAGGCGGCUUUUUAAGUCAGCGGUGAAAGCCCCGGGCUCAACCUGGGAACUGCCUUUGAAACGGGACAUCUUGAGUUCGGAAGAGGGUAGCGGAAUUCCCAGUGUAGAGGUGAAAUUCGUAGAUAUUGGGAAGAACACCAGUAGCGAAGGCGGCUACCUGGUCCGACACUGACGCUGAGGCGCGAAAGCGUGGGGAGCAAACAGGAUUAGAUACCCGGGUAGUCCCUGAGCGGGCUGGCAAGG
rnacentral:rRNA from 1 species